rnacentral:rRNA from 1 species
CGGGGCGGCUAUAAUGCAGUCGAGCGGACAGAAGGGAGCUUGCUCCCGGAUGUUAGCGGCGGACGGGUGAGUAACACGUGGGUAACCUGCCUGUAAGACUGGGAUAACUCCGGGAAACCGGAGCUAAUACCGGAUAGUUCCUUGAACCGCAUGGUUCAAGGAUGAAAGACGGUUUCGGCUGUCACUUACAGAUGGACCCGCGGCGCAUUAGCUAGUUGGUGGGGUAAUGGCUCACCAAGGCGACGAUGCGUAGCCGACCUGAGAGGGUGAUCGGCCACACUGGGACUGAGACACGGCCCAGACUCCUACGGGAGGCAGCAGUAGGGAAUCUUCCGCAAUGGACGAAAGUCUGACGGAGCAACGCCGCGUGAGUGAUGAAGGUUUUCGGAUCGUAAAGCUCUGUUGUUAGGGAAGAACAAGUGCGAGAGUAACUGCUCGCACCUUGACGGUACCUAACCAGAAAAGCCACGGCUAACUACGUGCCAGCAGCCGCGGUAAUACGUAGGUGGCAGCGUUGUCCGGAAUUAUUGGGCGUAAAGGGCUCGCAGGCGGUUUCUUUAAGUCUGAUGUGAAAGCCCCCGGCUCAACCGGGGGAGGGU